AAUUGCCAGAGAAAACGCUACAGUCGGUAAUAGCCAAGUGUGAUGCAGAUAAACAUGGAAACUUGGAAGCUACAUGAUGAAGAUGGCAUAGCCUGAAGGCAAAAGGAUCCUGGAUCUUUGAAUCACAACUUGGAAAAGGACUGGCCAACGUUUAGGGACACCUCUUUUAGACUUUAUGUGCAAGUGUUUGAAUCUGCCCUUUGGAACUUAUGGAAGGUCAUGGAGGCUGGAAUCUAUUCCCUACAAGAAACACAGGGUAUGAAAAGUCUUCUGUGCCAAGGAGCCCCACAGGUUCCUGCUUGGUGUCACCAUGAACAAUAUCCUUCACAGAGAUCAGUAUCUCCCACUGGUUUCCCAUCCUACUUCAAAUCUGAAGCAUACAGUCUCGAGUGAGAAAACAUCAGGGAAUGUAAAUAAUGAAAGAUAUGAGUCAUCAAGCAAUGGAAAAUAUGAAGCAAGAAGAAGAAAGAGAAGACAUUAAUCAAAAAGUGUAAAGAACAUGAAGGACAAUGAAAGGAUAAAGGCAAAGUUAAAUUCUUGGUAGUAAUACAGACUAGCAGGCAAAGGACCACCAACUGCCUUUAUUAAUUUAAAAAACAAGCAGAUCUUAGUCCUGUUAGUUCUGUAGUUUUGACCUUUAAUGUCUUCUUUUUUAGGUUUAUGAGUAGGCUGAAUCAUGAAAAAUGCCUAAUUUAAAAUUGACUUAGCUGCCAAUCACCUCUCCUGUGAGAAUCAGCUGCCAACUGAACUCUAAAACAAAUAAAAAUACUUGGAUUAAUC